rnacentral:rRNA from 1 species
GAUGAACGCUGGCGGCGUGCCUAAUACAUGCAAGUCGAGCGAACAGACGAGGAGCUUGCUCCUCUGACGUUAGCGGCGGACGGGUGAGUAACACGUGGAUAACCUACCUAUAAGACUGGGAUAACUUCGGGAAACCGGAGCUAAUACCGGAUAAUAUAUUGAACCGCAUGGUUCAAUAGUGAAAGACGGUUGUGCUGUCACUUAUAGAUGGAUCCGCGCCGCAUUAGCUAGUUGGUAAGGUAACGGCUUACCAAGGCAACGAGGCGUAGCAGACCUGAGAGAGUGAUCGGCCACACUGGAACUGAGACACGGUCAAGACUCCUACGGGAGGCAGCAGUAGGGAAUCUUCCGCAAUGGGCGAAAGCCUGACGGAGCAACGCCGCGUGAGUGAUGAAGGUCUUCGGAUCGUAAAACUCUGUUAUUAGGGAAGAACAAAUGUGUAAGUAACUAUGCACGUCUUGACGGUACCUAAUCAGAAAGCCACGGCUAACUACGUG